AUCGAACGCUGGCGGCAGGCCUAACACAUGCAAGUCGAACGGUAGCACAGAGAGCUUGCUCUCGGGUGACGAGUGGCGGACGGGUGAGUAAUGUCUGGGAAACUGCCCGAUGGAGGGGGAUAACUACUGGAAACGGUAGCUAAUACCGCAUAACGUCGCAAGACCAAAGUGGGGGACCUUCGGGCCUCACACCAUCGGAUGUGCCCAGAUGGGAUUAGCUAGUAGGUGGGGUAAUGGCUCACCUAGGCGACGAUCCCUAGCUGGUCUGAGAGGAUGAACAGCCACACGGGAGCUGAGACACGGGCCAGACUCCUACGGGAGGCAGCAGUGGGGAAUAUUGCACAAUGGGCGCAAGCCUGAUGCAGCCAUGCCGCGUGUAUGAAGAAGGCCUUCGGGUUGUAAAGUACUUUCAGCGGGGAGGAAGGCGGUGAAGUUAAUAACUUCACCGGUUGACGUUACCCGCAGAAGAAGCACCGGCUAACUCCGUGCCAGCCGCCGCCGUAA
rnacentral:rRNA from 1 species